AGAAUAAGUCAGCCGAGUUCGGUUAACAGUGUUAAUUGGAACGGGGGAACCACCCAAAGGGGCGUAUUGAGGAUUAGACCUUACUCUAAGUAAUAGUAAUAAGGUAAUCCUUGAAGGGCAACUCUCAGCCCUAGUCCGUCAGCUAACUCCGUAGGCAUUGAGAGGAGACUGG
rnacentral:sRNA from 2 species